rnacentral:rRNA from 1 species
AAGUCGUAACAAGGUUUCCGUAGGUGAACCUGCGGAAGGAUCAUUACAAGUGAGGCUACCGAACGUUGGAAACAGCGGUUAGGAGCUUACACCCACCCGUGUUUACAUACUAUUGUUGCUUUGGCGGGCCGUGGCCUCCACUGCGGGCUCUGCUCGUGUGUGCCCGCCAGAGAACCAAACUCUGAAUGUUAGUGAUGUCUGAGUACUAUCUAAUAGUUAAAACUUUCAACAACGGAUCUCUUGGUUCUGGCAUCGAUGAAGAACGCAGCGAAAUGCGAUAAGUAAUGUGAAUUGCAGAAUUCAGUGAAUCAUCGAAUCUUUGAACGCACAUUGCGCCCUGUGGUAUUCCGCAGGGCAUGCCUGUUCGAGCGUCAUUAUAACCACUCAAGCCUGGCUUGGUAUUGGGGUUUUCGCGUGUUCGCGGCCCUUAAAAUCAGUGGCGGUGCCGUCUGGCUCUAAGCGUAGUAAUUUCUCUCGCUAUAGGGUUCCGGUGGUUACUUGCCAAAACCCCCCGUCUUUUCUAGGUUGACCUCGGAUCAGGUAGGGAUACCCGCUGAACUUAA